rnacentral:rRNA from 1 species
UGCGUAGGCGGGUCAUUAAGUCAGAGGUGAAAUCCCACAGCUUAACUGUGGAACUGCCUUAGAUACUGGUGAUCUUGAGUUUUAGUGAAGUAGAUAGAAUGUGUAGUGUAGCGGUGAAAUGCAUAGAUAUUACACAGAAUACCGAUUGCGAAGGCAGUCUACUAACUAACAACUGACGCUAAUGGACGAAAGCGUGGGGAGCGAACAGGAUUAGAUACCCUGGUAGUCC